AUGACCUCGGAUCAGGUAGGGAUACCCGCUGAACUUAAGCAUAUCAAAACC
rnacentral:rRNA from 1 species